GACGAACGCUGGCGGCGUGCUUAACACAUGCAAGUCGAACGGAAAGGCCCUGCUUUUGUGGGGUGCUCGAGUGGCGAACGGGUGAGUAACACGUGAGUAACCUGCCCUUGACUUUGGGAUAACUUCAGGAAACUGGGGCUAAUACCGGAUAGGAGCUCCUGCUGCAUGGUGGGGGUUGGAAAGUUUCGGCGGUUGGGGAUGGACUCGCGGCUUAUCAGCUUGUUGGUGGGGUAGUGGCUUACCAAGGCUUUGACGGGUAGCCGGCCUGAGUGGGUGACCGGCCACAUUGGGACUGAGAUGCGGCCCAGACUCCUACGGGAGGGAGCAGUGGGGAAUAUUGCACAAUGGGCGGAAGCCUGAUGCAGCAACGCCGCGUGCGGGAUGACGGCCUUCGGGUUGUAAACCGCUUUCGCCUGUGACGAAGCGUGAGUGACGGUAAUGGGUAAAGAAGCACCGGCUAACUACGUG
rnacentral:rRNA from 1 species